rnacentral:rRNA from 1 species
AGUGAACGCUGGCGGUAGGCCUAACACAUGCAAGUCGAACGGCAGCACAGUAAGAGCUUGCUCUUACGGGUGGCGAGUGGCGGACGGGUGAGGAAUACAUCGGAAUCUACUUUUUCGUGGGGGAUAACGUAGGGAAACUUACGCUAAUACCGCAUACGACCUACGGGUGAAAGCAGGGGAUCUUCGGACCUUGCGCGAUUGAAUGAGCCGAUGUCGGAUUAGCUAGUUGGCGGGGUAAAGGCCCACCAAGGCGACGAUCCGUAGCUGGUCUGAGAGGAUGAUCAGCCUCACUGGAACUGAGACACGGCCCAGACUCCUACGGGAGGCAGCAGUGGGGAAUAUUGGACAAUGGGCGCAAGCCUGAUCCAGCCAUACCGCGUGGGUGAAGAAGGCCUUCGGGUUGUAAAGCCCUUUUGUUGGGAAAGAAAAGCAGCAGGUUAAUACCCCGCUGUUCUGACGGUACCCAAAGAAUAAGCACCGGCUAACUUCGUG